CUCGCAGUCCGCCGCUGCGCCUCAAACACACAGAAAUAUUUGCUUAUAUGCUCAGGGAAGCAGCGGCCGAAUGAAGCCUUGUUGAUUCUCUCCUCCCACGCAGCAGCGCUACUCCCAGCAUCGUACUAUUAUCACAGGAAAAACAGAAAGAGGAACACUGAAUGCAGGGAUCCUGACCGAACGCCCACCAUGACGCAGAAGGAGGGAGAGGAAGAGGAGGAGGAGGAAGAGGAAGAGGAGGAGGAAGAGGAAGAGGAAGAGAAGGAGGAAGAGAAGGAGGAGGAGGAGGAGGAGGAAGAGGAAGAGGAAGAGGAAGAGGAAGAGAAGGAGGAAGAGGAGGAGGAGGAGGAGAAGGAGGAAGGAGGUUUAGGAUGCAGGAGAGAUCCAGCAGACAGGAGGGAGAGAAGAGGGGAUGAUGGACGAGGAGUGAAGGUAGGACAGGAGGAUAAAUGAGCAGAGAGGAUGGAAAACCGUACGGAGGAAGACAAACUGGAAGCUUCCCAGCAGAGCUGCAUCUCUGGGAUUUAAAUGUAUGAACCUCCUCAGUAAUAAUCACAGCCGGGUUUCCUCCUGAUUCAGAGCCUGAAGUGAAACUCGGCAUGGUGAUAUGAGAGCACGGCGGUCUGCAGAGUCACGCAUCUUAAGAUCCUCGUAUGUCAUUUUACGGAGUGAAAAAUAACACAGGAAAUAGUCUGGGUCAUUCGUCAUGACGGCACGGUGAGAAAUGACAAGAAAAAAGAAGAAAUGACAUUCUGAUAACACCAGAAGUGACCUGCUAGCUUAUUUAUACGCCGUUUCAUCAUACCGGGCUGGAAAAUGGACAAAAUGGAAAAUGUUUGAGGAAAAUCUGACCAGAGAAAAGCAACUAAAGCAGCUAAAGCAGACACACAGGCCACAUUUUAUCUAAACCGGUGUAAAGCUGCAGGACUUAAAAUGAACAGAAACACUCAGACUGCUGGGAGUUCAGAGGGUUAACAUCCAUCACGUUUCUGAUCAUUCUGCUGCAUCUCCACCUCUGCACAGCCUGGAUGCUGCAGAUGAACAGUGAUGGAAAAGAAAGAAGAACAAACGUGUGCAGCAGAAGAUGAUGCUCCAGACUGAUCACCACUGGGUGUUUGGAACUUUCAGUCAAAAGAUUUCAUUCAUACUUUGCUUCUGUGAGAGUUUUUAGUGGGGAGGAAGAAGAUCUACAAACACGAAGGAGAAACAGUUUUGUUCAUAUUUCAGUGUGCAGUAAACACUUCACAGGAUGAAUAAUGAAGAAUCCUGAUUCAAAAGAAUCAUGUAACCUGAAUACAAACAGAACUGUUAGUAGAGUAUCUGUCCAGACAACAUUAUCUGAGAUAAAGAUCCUCUUAAAUUAA